AGUGGAAUUGCUAGAUCAUAUGGUAAUCUGUAUUUACCUGUUGAGAAACUGCCAGACUAUUUUCCACAGUGACCAUACCAUUUCCCAUUUCUACCAACAGU
rnacentral:pre_miRNA from 1 species